CACCGAAGAGGCAACAUGUAAGCUGUCACACUGAGAAAGAAAGCCACACCCGUCACAGCAGAACACUGCUUUGCUUCCUUGAGAAGGACCUGGACCAUCCAGAGUCUCCUAUCUGUGAUAUGUUCAGACCCCCAUCCCAAAGACACAAUCAAGGUCAGUCUCUUCAAACCGUGGUAUCAUUUGGGGCUCAAUAACAGCACCUCCCGAAGGAGAGGCUGCCACAUUCGAAAGGUAUAAAUGGCCCUAGCGGAAACU